CGAGGUGGCCGAGUGGGUGAGACGAUGGACUGCUAAUCCAUUGUGCUCUGCACGCAUGGGUUCGAAUCCCAUCUCGA
rnacentral:tRNA from 1 species